rnacentral:misc_RNA from 1 species
CGUAGACACGGCUGAUCAGCAGCAACCAAAGCAAUCAUCGUCCCUCGGAGCAUGUGUGGGGAGACGCACGCGUAGGAGCAUGCGCACACAGAUCCACGCCCGCAGACAAGAAGGUACAUCUGCACCGAAACAACGAUCGAAGGCCAACACGCCGCCGCUCAGAGAAGGCGGGAGUGUUCGUACACACACACACACACAGAUAGAGGAGCAGGGUAGCAUAGCGCCUGCAUACACGUUUUUCGAGAUGGCGAAUGACGUAGAGGUGGACUUUGUGCUCGUGCGCGGGCCUUGGUCGCUGGACCGGCGCAUGCGCGUCACACUCCCGAGUAACGGUAAACCCGUGACGGUGGGUCGCGCCACGCACUGCGCGGUACUACUUGAUCCGUCUCUGCUCUUCUCCUCCCAGGUGCAGUGCAGCCUCUUCGCCAUGCAGGUGAAGAGCGUGGCAACAGCACCGUCAACGUCAACCGCAACCACUGCCACCGGCACCCCGAUGACGGCCGACGCCAGCUCCACGCCUAACCAUGCCUGUGCUGGUGGCACAGCUCCGCACUGCGAGGACACACCCAUCGACGCAGCCGACACGCUAAGCACCCCGCGCCAUCAGCCUACCCUCCGUGAUGGCGGGCACGUCGACCGCACCACUCGAGUGUACAUAACGGACAUGUGCAGCUCGAACGGGACCUUCGUGAACGGCAUUCGCAUUAGCGGCACCGACCCGACCGAGCUGAAUCACGGCGACGUGUGCAUCUUUGGCGGCAUGCGUGACGUGGCCGUGGGCGAGGCUCUUCCGCCAGACGCCUACGACGGCCCUGAGCUAGUGCAGUGGCGCGUGGACUUGCGCCUGUCGGCGGAGCGGCCGCCGGAGACGUUCGAGUACACAUCCACGCCGCUGGUACUGCCGGCGAGGGGCGUGCUAGAGGUGGAGGAGCGUGCGCUGUUGGACACGGCCCAGCGCUCACUUGCGAAGCCGAUGCCGUCGUCAAUGCGCACGCCAGCCUCGGCGACGCCAGCGGCUGCUACCGUGGCGGCGGUGGUAGAGCAGCGUUCCCUUGACCCAGCGGUGGCGGGCUCAGCUGCUCAUUGCUUGACUGCCUUCGACAUCCGAUGCGACACGUCCCCUCGCGGUGUACCGCAGCAGCUAUUCACCUCGCCGAUUUCUCAUGAAAAGGACGCGACGCGAGAGGCGGCGGAAGAAGUGGAGGAGGCGCAGAAGCCUAGUAGCAGCGGACGGCGCAGCGUGUCCCUAGUCGCUUCGCAGGACGCACGGGUGACUUCCAUGGAGGCGGUAGAGGAGACGAGCGGUGUGGAAGACACAGCCGACAGUAUUCACACGCCUUUGGCUGAUCCCGUCGCCAUAGCUGUCCCUGCUGAACCACCUGCUGCAGUCGUGUACGACGCAGUGCGGCUUGGCAACGUCAGCUACGACGCACGUGGGGUGGCGAGGGAGGAGCGCGACCUGGAGGCGGACGCAGAUGCUGACGUCGACAAGGACGUUGAGUCGGCCACACCGAGCGGCAAGCAACGCCGUCGUGACUCGCCCGCAUCGGCAACUCCGCCGAAGCAAAAGCGGGUACGCCACGAGGAUGCUGCCGUCGUUGCGCCGACCCAGCUCACGUUCACGCCGAUGCACAUCAAGUGGACGAUGCCGAACCCCAACGAGAUGUGGUCGCGUCUUCAGCGGUCACCGUCGGACAAGGCCGCUGCUGCUGCUGCUGCACCCCACGACAGUGGUGCGAGUGGCAGAGCGACGAAACCUUUCUAUGUCAUGCUCCCUGUGACGUCUCUGGCAACGGUUGUUGUCUGCCCGGAGCGGCUGGGCAUCGCUGUAGAGCUGAAGGACGGGUGCCAGCUGCCCCUCGUGGACGCCGCGGUGCUGAGCGGGUCGGCGGAGAGCCGGUGGGUGGUGUGGGAGUUGUCGCAGCGGACCGCAGCUGUGCCGGUUCCCGCUGAUGAAGCCCGAAGCAGCGGUCGCGGCCGCUCUAAAGUGACCAAGGGCAACGCACGCAAGGCCUGCAAGAGGACGGAGAAGACUCCCUCUGUAGCGGCGGAGCCGACUCAUACUGCGACUGCUGAUGUGGAGAAGUCGCCGCUAACGCCCGCCGCGCGCUUCGAGGCGUGGCUUAUGCACUUUAAGCUGUACUACGCAGCGCAGAAGGUGCCAGCGCCGGUUGUUGUGGAUGGCGCUGCCUUCGACGUGAUCUUGUCCCCUUCUCUUGCUGCACCCUCCAGCGCCGUCUCCGCGUGAGCAACAGCAGCAGCGAGAUAGAGGGAGAUGCUCCACAAACGUGCUCUGUGGAGGAUUUGGGAGGAGAGUGAAGUGUGUCUUAGACCUCGCGCGUUUCUGUCCACGUGCGUAUGUGCAUGUGUCUUUGUGCGCCUCCCUCUCUCUGUGAGGUCACCCGGCCUCCCUCGCGGCCACCUCCGACCAUCCACCGUUGAGUUACUCCGGCAGCAGCUGCCGCUGCCCCUUCGCUUCCUCCUCCGAGGCAACGCUUCAUAGAGCCGCCAUUCUGUACAUCUUUUUUCUCCCCUGAUGCGACUGAGGCGGUGAGCGGGAUGUGCGCGCGAGUGCGUUCGCCCGCCUCGAGCGUUCCUUGUCGUUCAUGUCGUCUUUUGCCUGUUCUCCGGGGACACGUGCGCCGUACACACCCCUCCCGCCCACCCCUUCGCUGCCUCACACGCGAGGCGGUAUA